AGUUAAUGAGCUUGAACAAGCAUAUGUUUUGAAAGCAUAAGAUAGAAAAUCACCUUUCUAUUAACUU
rnacentral:tRNA from 1 species